UACAGAGGUGGCAAGCGUUGUUCGGAAUUACUGGGCGUAAAGGGCGCGUAGGCGGCCUACUAAGUCAGACGUGAAAUCCCCAGGCUUAACUUGGGAACUGCGUCUGAUACUGGGAGGCUUGAGUGCGGGAGAGGGAUGUGGAAUUCCAGGUGUAGCGGUGAAAUGCGUAGAUAUCUGGAGGAACACCGGUGGCGAAGGCGGCGACCUGGGUCGAGACUGACGCUGAGGCGCGAAAGCGUGGGGAGCAAACAGG
rnacentral:rRNA from 1 species